UGCACAGGGAACCACAGAAGAUCCAGCUUGUGUGGACUGAAGGAAAGACACCUCUGUCAGUGCUUAUCAGACCACCGGCUUUAGAGAGUGACUGAUUUGACUGCACCCAAAAGCAGAACUGUGACCUGGACUGAGAGCUUCAUGGCCCUGAGGUGUCCGUCCCCUAACAGACAAAGGUGAACUGCGACAACGGCUGAGAGCUUCAUGGCCCUGAGGUUUCAGUCCCUAACAGACAAAGGUGAA
rnacentral:lncRNA from 1 species